GGAAUAUUGGUCAAUGGGCGGUAGCCUGAACCAGCCAAGUAGCGUGCAGGAUGACGGCCCUACGGGUUGUAAACUGCUUUUGUGCGGGAAUAACGGUCUUUACGUGUAGAGAUGUGCAUGUACCGUACGAAUAAGGAUCGGCUAACUCCGUGCCAGCAGCCGCGGUAAUACGGAGGAUCCGAGCGUUAUCCGGAUUUAUUGGGUUUAAAGGGAGCGUAGGCGGAGGAUCAAGUCAGUUGUGAAAUGUAGGCGCUCAACGCCUGCACUGCAGUUGAAACUGGUUCCCUUGAGUGCGUAAGAGGCAGGCGGAAUUCGUCGUGUAGCGGUGAAAUGCUUAGAUAUGACGAAGAACUCCGAUCGCGAAGGCAGCUUGCCGGGCCGCAACUGACGCUGAAGCUCGAAGGUGCGGGUAUCGAACA
rnacentral:rRNA from 1 species